CCUGGGUGACAGAGUGAGACUCUGUCUCAAAUAAUAAUAAUAAAAAAAAGAAAUCUGAGUUCUAGAUCCUUGGGAUAUAGCUCUACAAAUUCCAGAGUUCUGCAACAGUGAUCUUUCUAAAGCACAAAACUUGUUGUGCCUUCAUUCUCACAACCUAAUAUUUCAGUAGCUCCCAAAGAUUGUAAGAUUAACACCAUUUAUUCAACGAUUACCUGCCAAGAUCCAGGUACUAUGCUAUUACUGGUGAGUCAAAAAGAUAUACAACAUUGUGUUGAAUAUCAAGAGGUUUUCAGAUCCCACUUUCAUCCUCCCUUUGACCUCUGAAUAUAUUAUUUUCCUCUAUAGUGGUUAAUUCCAUUGCUAAUGUAAAUCAAUUUAGCACCUACCUUAGAUUUUGUCUAUUUUUCAGCUCUACCUGUUAUCCUGAUCUGCAUAUGAAGGAUCACAACACAAACACAGAUACCUUUCGAGGUGGCUGGAAUGGGAUAAGGAGCAGGAGAAAGAGGAAGAGGAAAGCUUUUGUUGCUGACACUUGAAUGUUUUUUGAUGCUUGAAUAUUUUGACAGGGACAAAGAGAGUUAUAGGAUAUAGGCAACAGAAAGUUGAACAGAGGCUCAGAAAAAGCAUAAAAAAGGAGUGAACAAUUCUACCUGGGAGGACAGAAUCAGGUGCAUCGUCUCUAAGGAUUGAAAUUAUCUCUGUGGGAUGACAUCUCAGAGAACCCAAACAUCUGAAGGAGGGAGAACACAAAAAUCACAAGAGAAACCCAAAGGAGAUCUGAAAAGGCGCCCGCCUGAGGCAACCCACACUCACAUAAGCUUCCAUUAUGCAUGAAGUUGCUGAGAAUCUUUGCAAUGGCUCAUGGGAGAUCUAUUUACAUGGAUUUUGUUACAGAAGCUAACCACAUUUUGAGUCAGACAGAGUGGUGUCUGAUGUUAAAUAAAUAAAUAAAAAUUUCCCUUGUGAAAAACCAUCUCUUCUAGUCAGGGGCAGUCACUGGUGUGACUCAUGACCUUGAAGCUGCAUUUGAACUUGAUGGAAGAUGGUCAUUAGUCCACCUAAAGACCUGAUCAUGGUUUUUGACUUCUAGAGCACAGUUAUUUUUUUGUUAAUGCUGGGAAUUUGCAGUGAGACAUUCACACACACACAUUUUUCUUUUCUUUUGUCUUCUUUUAUACACUAUGUUUGGAAGGAAUUUCAAGAGGGCUUCAAUUUGUUGAAAGAGGUUGCCUCUUUAUGGGGUAGGAGGUGGGACUCAACUCAAGAGGCAGGGCUCGGCUCUGGACCACAUUGAAGACUGGCUCUAUAAGGCAGGCCUUCCAAUAUCAUGACAGUUUACUCAUUUUCUGGAAACAACCCUACCUGGAAGUUACCACUCCUUUUUCUAGAAAUUUCCGAAUAGCCUGCCCCCUAAUUUGCACAUAAUUAAAAGUGAAUAUAAAUGUGGUUGUAGAACUGCCCUGAGCUGCUACUCUUGACACACUGCCUAUGGGGCAGCCCUACUCUGCAGCAGCAGUCAUGAAGCUCUAAUACUACUCCCUCAAUAAAGCUGUUUCCUUCCACCACUGGCUCGCCC
rnacentral:lncRNA from 1 species